UUGCUUCAGCAGCACAUAUACUAAAAUUGGAACGAUACAGAGAAGAUUAGCAUGGCCCCUGAGCAAGGAUGACACGCAAAUUCAAGAAGCAUUCCUGAAGAAU
ensembl:snRNA U6 U6 spliceosomal RNA